rnacentral:rRNA from 1 species
CCCUUAGAUGUUCUGGGCCGCACGCGCGCUACACUGAUGCAUUCAACGAGUCUAAAACCUGGUCUGAUAGGGCUGGGUAAUCUUUUGAAUGUGCAUCGUGAUUGGGAUAGAUGAUUGCAAUUCUUCAUCUUCAACGAGGAAUGCCUAGUAAACGCAAGUCAUCAGCUUGCAUUGAUUACGUCUCUGCCCUUUGUACACACCGCCCGUCGCUCCUACCGAUUGAAUGUUCCGAUGAAUACCAUGGACUGAGAGUAUGAAUGGGUUCGCCUAUUUCUGCUUCUCGGGAAGUGGAGUAAAUCUUAACAUUUAGAGGAAGGAGAAGUCGUAACA